UACGUAGGUGGCAAGCGUUGUCCGGAUUUAUUGGGUUUAAAGGGUGCGUAGGCGGUCUAUUAAGUCAGUGGUGAAAUACUCCAGCUUAACUGGAGGGGUGCCAUUGAUACUGAUGGACUUGAGUCAAGUCGAGGUAGGCGGAAUUGACGGUGUAGCGGUGAAAUACUUAGAUAUGACAUAGAACACCAAUUGCGAAGGCAGCUCGCUACACGAAUAUUGACUCUGAGGCACGAAAGCGUGGGGAUCAAACAGG
rnacentral:rRNA from 1 species